rnacentral:rRNA from 1 species
AAUCAACGCUGGCGGCGUGCCUCAGACAUGCAAGUCGAACGCGAAAGUCCCCUUCGGGGGACAAGUAGAGUGGCGCACGGGUGAGUAACACGUAGGUAAUCCACCUUCGGAUGGGAAUAACAACCGGAAACGGUUGCUAAUACCGCAUAAUGCAGCGGCACCUAAUGGUGACAGUUGUUAAAGCGGGGGAUCGAAAGACCUCGCGUCUGAAGAGGAGCCUGCGGCGGAUUAGCAGUUGGUAAGGUAACGGCUUACCAAGGCGACGAUCCGUAGCCGGCCUGAGAGGGCGGUCGGCCACACUGACACUGACA